rnacentral:rRNA from 1 species
AUGGCUAGUAGCUAUUUCAUGGAAUUUAUAAGCAGAAGUAUGGUCCUGCCAUCUCAACGAUCAAUGUAUAGUAGAAAAGGAAUUGACUCAUGCCAAAUCCAUGACCUGAUCCGUGAAAUAAUCAUCUCAAAGUCAAUGGAGGAAAAUCUUGUUUUAAGGCUAGAGAGAGGAUGUAUCUUGGACUGCCAAGGGACUGGACGUCACCUCGUUAUAAGCAGCGAUUGGGAGGGAGAUCAGAAUGAGUUUGAGAGUUCAGUAGACCUAUCUCGCAUAAGAUCAUUAACAGUGUUUGGGGAGUCGAAGCCAUUUUUCAUUUCUAAAAAGAUGAGGUUGCUGCGAGUGCUAGACUUAGAAGGUGUAUCAGGUGUAUUUGAUCAUCACCUUGUGCACAUGGGCAAGCUUCUUCACCUCAAGUACCUUUCUUUGAGAGGAUGUAUGGAAAUUUAUUAUUUGCCAGAUUGGUUGGGUAAUCUCAGGCAACUUGAGACACUGGAUAUUAAAGGUACACAAAUAUUCAAGCUGCCAAGGACCAUCAUCCGGCUUAGUAAGCUACGACAUAUCUGUGCUGGGGCAAACAUUAGAGGCUGUGGGGAUAUGUCAGAUGUAAGCAGGCUGCGCAGUAUGUGCAGUAUGCCCUUAUUCUCUAUGCUUUGUUGCCUAGCAUGUUGCAGACCUCAGUUUCUCGAUAGGAUAAUGCCUAGAACUGGAGCACACUGGAACAGGCGUGAUAUAUGCACUGCGCUCUGCUGCGGCCUGAUGCCUGCUAUGCUAAUGCGUCUAAGUGUACAUGGUGUUACAAUUCCAAGUGGGAUCCACAAGCUGAAAGCCCUACAGACACUGGAUGCAGUGAACAUCGCAAGGCGGGAGGCCACUCUAGAUGACAUAAAAAGACUCGCUCAAUUGCGCAAGUUAGGAGUGAGUGGCAUCAACAAGACAAACUUGGGCAAACUGCCCGAAUGGAUCAUGGGGCUGAAAAAUCUCUUGAAGCUGAAGCUAUGGGGCUCCAGGAUAUUGGAGCAUGAUUCUGACAUGCAGGUCUUAGGCAAGCUACCCAACCUGACCUUCCUGAGUCUACGUGACAAGUCAUUCGUGGGCGAACAGGUCCACAUCAAGUUCCAUAGGGAGGAAUUCCCAAGUCUAGUGGUGCUGGAAGUCUAUCGGGAAGAGGAGGUCAAAUCGUUUGAGUUUGAGGAAGGAGCAACCCCUAAGCUUGAGCUGUUGCGAUAUUGUGGUGAUCCUUCACAGUGCAUCGCCAGGUAUUUUCUUGGGCUACAAUAUCUCCCAAGCCUCAGGGAAUUCAUGCUCAGCGACUACUAUCGCCACUAUAGGAGUGAACACAAGGAUGACUUCCUGGGCGACUUGCAGGCCCAGAUUUCCCAGAAUACAAAUCGGCCCGUUCUGAACCGUGCUAUUAAUUUCCGUUGA